CUUAGAGCCUUCUGCUUGGGAGUGUUAAUAGCUAUGCUUUUGGCCGGGCAUGGUGGUUAGUGAAUC
rnacentral:ncRNA from 1 species